GUUCGUUAUGUGCCAGAGGAUGGGGCUGCGGCCGAUCAGGCCGUUGGCGAGGUAACGGCUCACCAAACCUUUGACCGGUACGGGCCAUGAGAGUGGUAGCCCGGAGAUGGACACUGAGAUAGGGGUCCAGGCCCUACGGGGCGCAGCAGGCGCGAAAACUCCACACUGUACGUAAGUACGAUGGGGUUACCUCGAGUGUAGUCUGUAAAAGAUUGCUUUUCCAUAGAGUAAUAUCCUGUGGGAAUAAGAGGGGGGCAAGACUGGUGUCAGCCGCCGCGGUAACACCAGCCCCUCGAGUGGUAGGGACUUUUAUUUGGCCUAAAGCGUUCGUAGCCGUCUGUAACCGUUGCCCGUUAAAUCCAGCGUCUCAAGCGUUGGACUGCGGGCGAUACCUUACAGAUUGAGGGUGGGAUAGGUAAGCGGUAUUUCUGGGGUAGGGGCGAAAUCCUUUGAUCCCAGGAGGACCACCAGUGGCGAAGGCUGCUUACUAGAACACGCCUGACGGUCAGGAACGAAAGCUGGGGUAGCGAACCGGAUUAGAUACCCGGGUAGUCCCAGCUGUAAACGAUGCGCGCUAGGUGUUGGGUCGGCCAUGCGCCGCCCCAGUGCCGCAGGGAAGCCGUUAAGCGCGCCGCCUGGGGAGUACGGCCGCAAGGCUGAAACUUAAAGGAAUUGGCGG
rnacentral:rRNA from 1 species